rfam:Danio rerio chromosome 4, GRCz11 reference primary assembly.
CUUGUCCUGAUUUGUAAGUCGCUUUUGAUAAAAGCGUCUGCUAAAUGACUAAAU